GAUGUGACACAGCAGCAAUAAGCAGGCUGUUCAAGCCACAUGGCACUGCUCUAGAGGCCAGACAAAGCCCAGUCUUCACUGAGAAGGAAACUUGUCACACUUGUCUAAACAGGAACUAUCCAUCCCAUCCCUAACGUUCUUGCGACACACCAUGGCAAGAGUAACAGCGUUUAUCGACCUUGCUUUCCCUUCUGCUAAGCCAAUCGCGAUUACCCAGUGGGGUGCUCCCUUUCCCCGACAGACUGCGGCUGCUCCCAGGGCGUUUAUCAGCAGCCACAGGCGGCUCUAUGAAGCGCAGCGUGUCCUCGGACUGCAGCUCACAGCGUGUCCCGGGGCUGCGGGACCCACAUCUCCCACCAUGCCUGGGCAGGUGCUGAUGCGGUGUUCCUUGUUGUUGUGGGUGGCAGCGCAGCAUGAGCUAGACGUGAGACGCGGCGGGGUGCACUUGUGAUGGCCGAGGCGUCUUCGCCUUCCUGGGGCACAAAUUUCUCUCUAGGAGCUGCUGAUAAAUACAAGUUGGAUAGACUUUCCCCAGUACUUUUGGAGCUGGCGAGGAAACGUUUGAAAUUUGCUUUCCUAAUUUUUCCAUUCAUUACUAUCUACUAAUUUAUCUUACAGAUUUAACACUGGACCCUUCUGCUAUUCUUUAUCUUUUGCAUUUCAGCUGCUGAAAGAUGUUUUUUUCUUCUUCAGCUGGUCACUUUUCCUGUCACUUUCUGUAGUGACACCACGACUGCAAUUUCUCAGCCUCAUGCUGCUUAGUUUUGACCGUGGUGUUUCUAAGGCUCAUUUGAGGCAAAAUACUUUGAUAUACACCAAAAUAAUACAUGGUUAUUAUGACAGAGUUCAAAAGUGUGAAUGCCUCUUUGGUGUGUUCUUAAAUGCUUACACUUUUUGGCUUCCAGGCUGUAUUUGGAAGUAGGGUUUGCUUUAAGUGUAUGUGAUAGGAGAGGAGCACCAUAGGCCACACAGUGCCAGUGACAGGCUGGCCAUGGAAAAGGCUGGCAAGAGAAACCCUGGUCCCCAGGAAUCACUCGAGCACAUGUCCAGCACAAAAUGCCUCUUGAAAAUAGUUCACUGCUAAGCAAUUCCUCUUUUAAAAGGGGCAAUAUGCAGGGUGUCAUAUGCCUACUAACUGAUAUGCCUGUCCUAUAACACAUCUCCCCCUAUUUAAAUUUAGUUUAAACUUUAACAAAGCUUUAAUUCUGGAGUGACUAUUUUGUAUCAUUUAGCUUCUGGACUAUUGAUGGAAUCCUGUAUUGGAGCUAAACUUCAGCAGUUCUAAACCAUAUUAUUUUUUUCUAGCAGUUCUUAGUGUGUCUGUAUUCUGGGAUUUUGUGCUGUGUUUGAAAUACUCUCUAAGUGAUUAUAAUGGGAUAUAAACAAUAUUUUGAGUUCAGUAUAUAUUUUUAUAAGAACUAAUUAUAUAUCACUUUUACUUAGUAUCCAUAAUGUCUGUUACAUGCCAGUCAUGGGUUGGAGACAGAAUCAAUGACUUGAUCAUCAGACAAAACAGCCUCCUUGAUUGUUUGGAGUUCACUUACACAGCUGGUUCAAAACUCUCACGUCUAGAGAAUUCAUUGGUUGAGGUUUUAGCACUGCCCAGCUCCCUGACCAGUGAUAUGUCUGCUUUCUGGAUUGAACAUGACUGGUCCCUGCUUGGGUCCAAAUCCAACUCAUCCCUGCUCCAUCCAGUGACUCAUUUUACUUCUAGGAUGGUUGAGUUUGGGAAUCUGAUAUGGCCAAAUUUAUUUGGCAGCUUUAAACUAGCUGCCAUGGUGACAAUGUCAAAUAAGGAGGGGGGGAAAACCUUAAAGAGAUAACUGCAGAUGCCAUACGAAAUAAAGAAUAUGAAGAAGCCUCAAAGCACUGCAAGGUAAUUCUUUCAUUACUUGGAAAGCAGUAUUUUUUGCACAUUUUGUUUGUUACUCCUACCCCUACAGCUGUAAAGUAAUAUAGAGUGUGGAAUACUUUAUUGACAUAAUGGUUGAAAUUUGAUUUUCAGUUUUCAUUUUGAUAACUUCAUUGAUCAUUCAUGUUAGUUGAACACAGAUGAACUUUUAUUCCCAUUCUUUUUGCAUUUGAUUAUAUGUGCUGAUAAGAAUAUGAAGUGUAGAAGGCUCAUAUUAAAAUCCGUUUCUGAUCUAGACCUCAGAGAGGAGCUUUGAUUGCCAAGCUCCAGGUAUGGUUAUAGACAGAACAGUUUACACAUGUAACAUUUUCUGUCAGGAAAAGCUGAAUUUACUAUUUUUUUCCAAAUAAUUACGUAACCUCUACUAUUACCUGUGUUAUAAAUUGUUGUGACUAAAUCAAGGAGUCAAUUUAAAUGAUUAUUCAUGAAAAUCAAUUUUAUUAAUUCAGCAAGUGGUGAGCAAGCAAAAAACAGCACUGGGCGAUGGCUGGGAAGCCUCUGCUUCACCAAUGGUAUGCGUGCCUUAGCUUGAGGAAGUUCCCCCUUAUAUACAGUUCCUGUAUGUGUCUUCAUUGCUUCUUCCUGGGUUGCAUCUGAGCUUGCGCCACCUGUUGCUAGGGGGUUGUCCUCUGCUUCCUGGUGGUCAUGAGGUGAAGGCUUGUAGUCUUGGUCUGUGCACAGACCUUGGUCCUAUACCAGUUAUGCAACUUCUAAUAAAAAAAUGUUCUAAUUCUUGUUUGUACAGCCAGAUAUUAUUGUUAUAAAUAAAAAAACCCAGUGUUCAAAUUAUAUGUUCUUGUUCCAAUCCCAGUUUAGGUCCCUGGUUAAGGGGUUUGGUGUUGUAAACCCCAAAAGGAUUCAUUGUUAGGAAGUUCUUACUUGUUUUAUCAUUGCAUUUGUACCCCCACCCCUUAUGCUCUUCCAACCUGUCAGGUAAUUCAGCCGCUGCUACCCAGGAUGAACUUCCGCAUUUCCCAUAAAGACUUGCACACUGGUGCAUAUUAAAAUCGUAUUACCACCUGGGAGCGAAGACAGCCCUGGACAAUGAGCCACUCUUGAGGAACAUCUGGAGGACCACACUGUGGAGGCAGCAGGAACCUGGGGAGACUGGGUGCGCCAAUGUCAGUCCGGCAAGCUCGUCGCCAUGACCUGGCAGGACUUGAGAGGGAAGACACCACUGGACUUUUGAGCCUAAACAGAGUUUCUGGGUGAUCCCAGUGAGGAUAGAGACUCCAGUCCUGCCGACAGUGGAUGAUGACAGGCCUGUGUGGUCUUCCUCCUACACGUCGACCACAGGGAGCAGUGGCAGCAGCGCGCGCCCUGAGCUCCCACCUCUAGGCUUAGUUCUCUCUAAAAAAGGCUUGUUAAAGGGAGCAGAAGGUCUCCUGGCCCUUUAAUUUACGUCGUAAAUUAAAAUUGUAAACCAAAUUUACAAAUUAUGGUUUGGCCUUUCUGAAGUUUCAGCUCUUACAUUGUAUUAAGCAAACAGUUUUAACAAUCAUAUUAUAUUAAACAAUCAUGUUUUAUUAAAUUUGAUUAACAAACAAUAGCAAUCUAUUACACCUGAUUGAAUAGUUCACAAAACUGUAAUGGCAAAACUCAGGCCAUAGAUCUGUAAGAUGCAUUUCACUCAUUUUUUUUCACUUAAAAUUGUGUUUUUUAGGCUGUCUUGAAGGAAGACAAAAAUAUCUACAAUUCUUGGUUAUUCAUUGGCCUGACAGCUGUUGGUUUAGAGCAAUCAGACCAGGCCAAGGGAGAAUAUAAGAAGGCUAUUGAUCUUGAACCAAACCAAUUACUGUCAGUUAUAGUCCAGAUCCACUUUUUCUCUCCCUGAAAAGUGUAAAUAUGGAGUUGAAUACAGGAACAAAGCAGAGUUGAGACUUGAAUCAUGUUUUCUUGAGGCCCUUAUUUCUGUGGUAGCUUUGGGAAAUCUGAGGCUUGUAUUAUUUUUGUGUCCAAUGUAAUACCACAAUGAGGUUUAGUUUCAGUGUAUUUAAGUUUGUAUUUAAUAUUUAAGCUAGAUAGCAGAGAAGUUUAUAAGGGAAAACAUGAACUGAAACAAAUACAGGCAAUUUGUCCAUGUCUAGAUAUUUCUUUGCUUAUAGCUGAAGAAACACUUGACAAUGCUUCUCUGCUUUAGCUAGUUUAUCUAGUUCAUCUUGUUUGUCUUAUCUUAUUUUUCCAGCUUUCAGCAUGAAGUGGAUGGCUACUGAAUUUUGCUGUUAAUGUAUUUGAAUAUAUUUAAAAUGUAUUUAAAAUGUUAAAUGUAUUUAAAAACAAUACAUUUAAAAUAGCCAUAUGCUGGUGCAUGACAGCCUGUUGCAGUAUGUAGUUACCACAUACUUGAGGUGUCUUCUAGAGAUUUGUGGCACAUAAGGUUGCAUAUUAAGUCAGUCUCUCAUAGCAAAAAUCUCUAUUUUUCUAAGGUUCCUAAUAUUUUCAAUAUAAAUACUUUUUUUAAGUGUAAUUGUUCCUUCCUGAUUUGACGGUGGCUGAUACUGGAAUUGCUCUGUUUUUGCAUUUAGCUUCUGCUUUUUUGUUACUAUACAAAUGUUAGAAAUUAAGUGUCUUUCCUUUUGUUCCUUCUCACCCAUAGAAUUUUUUCGCCAUUAGUUGCAGGGAAACCUGACUGCUGGUACUUAUUGCAUGCUUGAGAAACACAAAGAGUUUGGCGGGGCCCAUGGGGAAGGGGGGCAGGAAAAAGGGAGGGCGGGGGCAGGCGGGGGCUGGCUGGUUUCUUCAGCUGCAGAAGACAUGCUCAGAGCUGUGGUUGCUUAAAGAAAGGAACUCGCCAUAACCCAGAGCUGCUGCUUCUUCUGCUCUUCGUCUGUAAGUCCCUGCACCUGCCAGCUACUGCCGCGGAACUGCUGAUACACCUCAUCCACCGGCCCGGCAUCUCUGCUCAUUCCUGUCAUUCCAGCCCGCCGUUACGCCGAGCCCUGCAGGAGCACCGGGACCGCCCGCCCGAGGGGGUUGGUGAAACAAAGCUUCUCUUCCAUCCCUUCCCGUCUUGGCCGAAAAGGCUGUCACGGGGUCCCUGGUUCUGUUUUGUUGUUAACGCUGUAGUUAUCAUUGUUUGUUGUUAUACAUACUAGUAAAAAACUGUUAUUCCUAUCCUCAGA